AAACUUUGCAAUACACGAAAGUGUGACAGGGCUAUCCCGAGUGCCGUCCGCUGAGGAUGGCUUUUACCCAGUCUAGAACGCUGGGGGAAUAAGGAGAGGGCAAGUCUGGUGUCAGCCGCCGCGGUAAUACCAGCUCUCCGAGUGGUGUGGAUGUUUAUUGGGUCUAAAGCAUCCGUAGCUGGCCAAGCCAGUCCCUUGUUAAACCCACCGAAUCAAUCGUUGGAUUGCGGGGGAUACUGCUCGGCUAGGGGACGAGAGAGGCAGACGGUAUUUUCGGGGUAGGGGUGAAAUCCUAUAAUCCCGGGAAGACCACCAGUGGCGAAGGCUGUCUGCUAGAACGCGCCCGACGGUGAGGGAUGAAAGCUGGGGGAGCGAACCGG
rnacentral:rRNA from 1 species